rnacentral:other from 1 species
AUAUAUCUGGGGUAUUCGUGUAGCUCUUAUUUUGAACCUACAGUUAAGAAACGGGAGUUCAAAAUUUAGAUGUGAAAUUGACUUAUGAGACCGAAUCGGCAAGGACAAAGAAGUAUCUGUGAGGGCACCCACCUAUCGUUGAGAUAGGUAUCAAAAUUAGAGUAGCGGUAUUUUGGAAUAUU